CCUACGGGAGGCAGCAGUAAGGAAUCUUCCACAAUGGACGAAAGUCUGAUGGAGCAACGCCGCGUGCAGGAUGAAGGCUUUCGGGUCGUAAACUGCUUUUAUAUGGGAAGAUUAUGACGGUACCAUAUGAAUAAGGACCGGCUAACUACGUGCCAGCAGCCGCGGUAAUACGUAGGGUCCAAGCGAUAUCCGGAAUUACUGGGCGUAAAGCGUGUGUAGGUGGAUUAAUAAGUGUGAUGCGAAAUCCGGCGGCUCAACCGUUUGGACUGUGUCGCAUACUGUUAGUCUAGAGGACGGCAGAGGUAAGUGGAAUUACGGGUGUAGCAGUGAAAUGCGUAGAUAUCCGUAGGAACACCAAUGGCGAAGGCAGCUUACUGGGCCACACCUGACACUGAGACACGAAAGCGUGGGGAGCGAACAGGAUUAGAUACCCUGGUAGUCCACGCCGUAAACGAUGCAUACUAUUAGUAUGGGGUAUCGACCCCCUGUGCUGAGAAGCUAACGCGAUAAGUAUGCCGCCUGGGGAGUACGAGCGCAGCUUAAAACUCAAAGGAAUUGACGGCUGAGACGNGCGAGACGACGACGAGGGAGAGG
rnacentral:rRNA from 1 species